rnacentral:rRNA from 1 species
AUGAACUCUGGCGGCGUGCCUAAUACCUGCCAGUCGAGCGAACGGACGAGAAGCUUGCUUCUCUGAUGUUAGCGGCGGACGGGUGAGUAACACGUGGAUAACCUACCUAUAAGACUGGGAUAACUUCGGGAAACCGUAGCUAAUACCGGAUAAUAUUUUGAACCGCAUGGUUCAAUAGUGAAAGACGGUCUUGCUGUCACUUAUAGAUGGAUCCGCGCUGCAUUAGCUAGUUGGUAAGGUAACGGCUUACCAAGGCAACGAUGCAUAGCCGACCUGAGAGGGGGAUCGGCCACACGGGAACUGAGACACGGUCCAGACUACUACGGGAGGCAGCAGUAGGGAAUCUUCCGCAAUGGGCGAAAGCAUGACGGAGCAACGCCGCGUGAGUGAUGAAGGUCUUCGGAUCGUAAAACUCUGUUAUUAGGGAAGAACAUAUGUGUAAGUAACUGUGCACAUCUUGACGGUACCUAAUCAGAAAGCCACGGCUAACUACGUG